rnacentral:rRNA from 1 species
AGUGAACGCUGGCGGUAGGCCUAACACAUGCAAGUCGAACGGCAGCACAGUAAGAGCUUGCUCUUACGGGUGGCGAGUGGCGGACGGGUGAGGAAUACAUCGGAAUCUACUUUUUCGUGGGGGAUAACGUAGGGAAACUUACGCUAAUACCGCAUACGACCUACGGGUGAAAGCAGGGGUUCUUCGGACCUUGCGCGAUUGAAUGAGCCGAUGUCGGAUUAGCUAGUUGGCGGGGUAAAGGCCCAGCAAGGCGACGAUCCGUAGCUGGUCUGAGAGGAUGAUCAGCCACCCUGGAAGUGAGACACGGUACAGACUCCUACGGGAGGCAGCAGUGGGGAAUAUUGGGCAAUGGGCGAGAGCCUGAUCCAGCAAUACCGCGUGGGUGAAGAAGGCCUUCGGGUUGUAGAGCCCUUUUGUUGGGAAAGAAAAGCAGCAGGUUAAUACCCCGCUGUUUUGACGGUACCCAAAGAAUAAGCACCGGCUAACUUCGUG